CCUACGGGAGGCAGCAGUGGGGAAUAUUGGACAAUGGGCGAAAGCCUGAUCCAGCCAUGCCGCGUGUGUGAAGAAGGUCUUCGGAUUGUAAAGCACUUUAAGUUGGGAGGAAGGGCAGUAAGCGAAUACCUUGCUGUUUUGACGUUACCGACAGAAUAAGCCCCG
rnacentral:rRNA from 1 species